rnacentral:rRNA from 1 species
CGGGAAUAUUGCGCAAUGGAGGAAACUCUGACGCAGUGACGCCGCGUAUAGGAAGAAGGUUUUCGGAUUGUAAACUAUUGUCGUUAGGGAAGAUACAAGACAGUACCUAAGGAGGAAGCUCCGGCUAACUACGUGCCAGCAGCCGCGGUAAUACGUAGGGAGCAAGCGUUAUCCGGAUUUAUUGGGUGUAAAGGGUGCGUAGACGGGAAAGCAAGUUAGUUGUGAAAUCCCUCGGCUUAACUGAGGAACUGCAACUAAAACUACUUUUCUUGAGUGUUGGAGAGGAAAGUGGAAUUCCUAGUGUAGCGGUGAAAUGCGUAGAUAUUAGGAGGAACACCGGUGGCGAAGGCGACUUUCUGGACAAUAACUGACGUUGAGGCACGAAAGUGUGGGGAGCAAAC